UCUAUAAUUUGCAUGAUUUAGGCAUUCAUUCUUCACCACUUUGUCAUUGUUUCAUCCACAUUUCAUCUCAUUAGGAGUCGUUUUAGUGUGUUUUACAUACUUAGGACGAUUUUGCAUUAGGAUUGCAUGUGCAUGGCAUAUUUGGUUGUUUUCAGGUACUUUGGAUGCUUUUGGAGUUCAAACAGAGGAAAAACAGAACAUGAAGUCAGAAUGCCCAAUGACGCCUUCAGCAAAAGUACUCUAUCGCAGCCUCGGAGCCCUGCCAGGGCAAAUCACUCUAUCGCAACCCCGGAGAAGCAAACAGCUCAGUUUCACUCAAUCGCGAAGCCGGAGGAAUCACCCCAUCAGAACCACUCGAUCACCACUCUAUCACGAGGAAGCCUAUCUGCUCAUUCUGCACUCAACCAGACAAGCUGAGAACAAAGAAGAGAAGAGAAGGCGAAGAAACCACUCGAUCACACCCUCAUGACAUCCACUCGAUCGCUUCACUCGAUCACAAGGUCGCUGGACCAUUCAAUCUCGACUUCACUGCAUUUCACUCGAUCGCAAGACGGAGCCCCUGAAGCCCAGUUUGAUCAAUGACAUACUCGAUCACUAGGAAGCUCAUUUCAGCCCGUCAGAUGCCAAUGACACAUUCGGUCGCAGGAUCAUGACGUGAAGAUUCGCUAUAUAUUUAGUUUCCUUAUUUGU
rnacentral:sRNA from 1 species